UGGGGAAUAUUGGACAAUGGGCGCAAGCCUGAUCCAGCCAUGCCGUGUGAGUGAUGAAGGCCUUAGGGUUGUAAAGCUCUUUUGUGCGGGAAGAUAAUGACGGUACCGCAAGAAUAAGCCCCGGCUAACUUCGUGCCAGCAGCCGCGGUAAUACGAAGGGGGCUAGCGUUGCUCGGAAUCACUGGGCGUAAAGGGUGCGUAGGCGGGUCUUUAAGUCAGGGGUGAAAUCCUGGAGCUCAACUCCAGGACUGCCUUUGAUACUGAGGAUCUUGAGUUCGGGAGAGGUGAGUGGAACUGCGAGUGUAGAGGUGAAAUCCGUAGAUAUUCGCAAGAACACCAGUGGCGAAGGCGGCUCACUGGCCCGAUACUGACGCUGAGGCACGAAAGCGUGGGGAGCAAACA
rnacentral:rRNA from 1 species